rnacentral:rRNA from 1 species
ACAGCAGCAGCCACGGGAAUACAGAGGGUGCGAGCGUUAAUCGGAUUUACUGGGCGUAAAGCGUGCGUAGGCGGCUUUUUAAGUCGGAUGUGAAAUCCCUGAGCUUAACUUAGGAAUUGCAUUCGAUACUGGGAAGCUAGAGUAUGGGAGAGGAUGGUAGAAUUCCAGGUGUAGCGGUGAAAUGCGUAGAGAUCUGGAGGAAUACCGAUGGCGAAGGCAGCCAUCUGGCCUAAUACUGACGCUGAGGUACGAAAGCAUGGGGAGCAAACAGGAUUAGAGACCCCUGUAGUCCCUGUCUCUUAUAC